rnacentral:rRNA from 1 species
GCACGGAGUUAGCCGGGGCUUAUUCUCCCGGUACAGUCAUUAUCUUCCCGGGUAAAAGAGCUUUACAACCCUAAGGCCUUCAUCACUCACGCGGCAUUGCUGGAUCAGGCUUUCGCCCAUUGUCCAAUAUUCCCCA